UACGGAGGGUGCGAGCGUUGUCCGGAAUCAUUGGGCGUAAAGGGCGCGUAGGUGGCGGGACAAGCGUGCGGUGAAAGCUCGGGGCUCAACCCCGAGUCGGCCGUGCGAACUGUUUGCUGGAGCACUGUAGAGGCAGGCGGAAUUCCGGGUGUAGCGGUGGAAUGCGUAGAGAUCCGGAAGAACACCGGUGGCGAAGGCGGCCUGCUGGGCAGUUGCUGACACUGAGGCGCGGACAG
rnacentral:rRNA from 1 species